GGGCUUGACAUCCCACGAACCUGGUGGAAACACCGGGGUGCCUUCGGGAGCCGCAAGACAGGUGGUGCAUGGCUGUCGUCAGCUCGUGUCGUGAGAUGUUGGGUUAAGUCCCGCAACGAGCGCAACCCUCACCCUUUGUUGCCACCAGGUCAGGCUGGGCACUCUAGGGGAACUGCCCCGGUCAACGGGGAGGAAGGUGGGGAUGACGUCAAGUCAUCAUGCCCCUUACGUCCUGGACUACACACGUGCUACAAUGGCCGGUACAAGGGGAUGCAAGACCGCGAGGUGGAGCUAAACCCAAAAAGCCGGUCUAAGUUCAGACUGGAGUCUGCAACUCGACUCCGUGAAGGAGGAAUCGCUAGUAAUCGCGCAUCAGCACGGCGCGGUGAAUACGUUCCCGGGCCUUGUACACACCGCCCGUCACACCACGAAAGCCAGCUGUACUCGAAGUCGCUGAG
rnacentral:rRNA from 1 species